rnacentral:lncRNA from 1 species
CUUGCACUUCGGAAAGAAGGAGCUCUCCUUAGGCUGGGAGGGGCCAAGCCGCUGGCCCGUGAGCCUGGGGCAGCUCUGGACUGUGCUUGCUGUCCUUGAGGAGAAUGCAGCCAGCCCAGGGCAAAUCAGAGCCAGGCAGGAAGAAGACCUCCUUGAGAAGAAAACGGGUGAGUGAAGGCAACAAGCAAUUGACAUGGAUCGAGCAUCUACACUGGAACAUGGCCCUAACAGUGGGCAGCAUGAAACUGAGGAACACAGCAGGAAGCUGAUUUAGGCAAACUCAGCAGGAAGUGUUCCCUGUGAACCCAUGAGACUUCAUCCCUGCGUUGGUCUGGCUGGCUUUCCCUGUGAGAUACAGGUUCCUCCUGAAGAGCUGAAGCUCCAUUCCAGCUCUAGACUUCUCCUUGCUUUCAGACUUCAAGAUGAGAAGCAUUUUUCCAGUCCACAAGUGUUAGAGGACACUGCCGAUGAUGUGUGUUUUGCCCAGGCUGGACUCAGCUUCUUUGUCUCGAAUGUACACUUGAUAAGAGUAGGGGUCUUGCCUGCCUUAUCCACUGCAUAGCUCCAGUCAAGAGAAGUCAUUGCCACGGAAAAGGCACCCAACAAACAUGCCUUUAACUUGUUGAAUGAACCCAUCAAAUUCCUGAUAGUGGAAGUUUGGACACUGGAGUCGCAGGUGGGGAAAGAAACCAUGAUGCAAUAGGACCCCAAUUACACGUGGGUUCUGCUUAUGUUAGAAAAGCUUCCUGACUUUGUGUGCAGUCAAGUCCUGUGGCUUGUGGCCAAGGGAGGAUCUUUUCUUUUUUACCCAUGGAAGAUGACAUUGGUAUGUUGGAGUAAUGAUCCAGAAGAUAAACAUGAAUACAGACAAAUUCUGAAUUUGGAUUCAAAUAACAAGUUGCACAAAAACAAGGUACUCAGUUAUUUCUGAGUAUUGCUCUGUGCGUGGCACUGUGCUGUACAUUGAGGAUAUGAAGAUGAGUAAGUCUCAGUCUAUAUCUUUAGAGACCUCACAGCCUGGAAAGAGAGUUAAAAAAUAAUUACUAUUCAACAUGGCAAUGGUUAUAAAGGAGCAGAUUUUCCAAACUGGUGUUUCAAGGAACAUUCUUUGGCAGGAUGUUAAAAACAGGAAACAGCAAGCCUGAAAAAGGAAAUUGACGAAGAAACAAUUUGGUUAUUCUUGACUCAGUGGCCAAGGAGGGAACACAGAUGCAAGGAAGACUGGGAAAUGCAGUAUACAGCUGGAGACAUCAUUGCCCUAAAUAAAAAUAGGACUCUUACCAAGAAGGGAGAGGAGAAUGGAUAUUGGGUGGCAUCACAGUCUCUCACACCUGAGCAUCUGAUUCUGUCAGAAGUUAAAUGAUGACCUCUCCUGUGGAUCCCUGGGUUCUUAUGAAGCAUGAGUAUAAUACAAGAUGUCAACAGGUAUUGCAAAGAUACUUAUGGAGCACCCCCAUGUUUGAGGAGCUGUGCGAGGCCUUGGAGUUGAAGCCGUGAGUAGAAAGACAAAGGCUCGGGCUCAGGAGCUUAUAUUCUAGUGAGAAGAGUGACAAUGAAGAUGCAGCUGCCAGGAUCUACCACAACCUGUACAGGAUGUUUUGGGACAGCGACUUGGAGCAGCAUUUGGUGGGAGAGGACGGAAGCUGUGAGACGUCAGCUCUGAGCCCUGAGUCCAGGGCUGGUCCUGUGGAGACAGGGGUUGCUAUGUCAUGAGCAGUGUGUGUGUGAGUAUGAGGUGUGGGAGGAAAGGUAGUAAGAAGCUGAGAAAAUGCCUCAAGCUGACCUCUCCCAAGGGAGUUGGAGCCAUGAGUACCUGGGCACCCUGAGGUGAACACUCCUUGCUCUGUGGGUCUCUAGUAUCUAACAAUAAGACCCCACCUGCACCUAUUGAUACACCUCAGGGUGAGAGGCAAAGAAACAUCACUGGGAAACUACAGACACGCAAUCAGGACUUUUCUCUAAUGUAAAGAGAACUUAGGGUCAGGAUUCAGGGAUCAAAUCUAGCUUCCUUGUUUGGCCUCUCUGAGUCUUUGUCCCUUUGCCUCUAAAACUGAGUAUUUCCUUGCCUUAUCUGAGCUUAUGUAAGGGCUAAAUGGGACAUGCUAUACCAAAAACAAUUUAUGGAGACCCAGUUCACUAUAAGAGUACAAUGCAUUCAUCUUCUUCAUCUUUGUAACUUUCGCUACUCCUUUCUGUUUAAAUUGAAACAGAUCUGGAGGCUUGUUUUCUAGAGGAACAACAAUGAAAAAAACAAGCAACAGGGAAAGUAGUCUUUGGUUAGUGAGUAUUCAGGAAAUUUCGGGGCAAAACAAGGAAGGUGAUUGGAACCCUAAUAAGAUCGCUUCCAGCAUAAGGAUGACAGUGAUGGCAGAGAGGAGACUUCAUACUUGGACAUAGCUUUGUGAGCUCCUAAAGAAGCCCAGCUCAUAGUCUGCCCUUCCAGAUAGCCUGCUGAAGGAACAGUGAAGUUUGGAGCUGAAACAGCUUCCUGAGCAGAAAUCUAGUUCAUUUCCCCAUGCUCAGGAGAGUGGCUUAGAAGCCACCAUCUCUGCCUUUUUUUCCUGUUGCUGUCUGUGGCUGACUGUGGCAGGUGGGAAGCUCUGGGAGCUCCAGCUCUGUCCUCUGUCCUUGCAGACACCCAGGGUGGGUGACCACAGCCUAUGAAGUAAGCCAGUCCUUAAUCCAUGGAGCACAUGCCCAGAUACAGGGACAUGGUGCCAUAAUGGACACUCCAAAAUGCCUACUCCCCAUGGUUGGACCAUGUCCAGAUGACGUUUUUUUUUUUUGUUGUUGUUUGUUUGUUUGUUUGUUUUUGAGACAGAGUUUCACUUUUGUCACCCAGGAUGGAGUGCAAUGGCACGAUCUCGGCUCACUGCAACCUCCAUCUCCCGGGUACAAGCGAUUCUCCUGCCUCAGCCUCCCGGGUAGCUGGGAUUACAGGCACGUGCCACCACGCUGGCUAAUUUUUG